AGUGAACGCUGGCGGCGUGCUUAACACAUGCAAGUCGAACGAGAACGGGUUAUAGCUUGCUAUAAUUGUCAGCUAAGUGGCGCACGGGUGAGUAAUGUAUAGGUAAUAUGCCUCUUACUAAGGGAUAACAAAUGGAAACGUUUGCUAAUACCUUAUACUCCUUAUUAACAGAAGUUAAUAAGGGAAAGAUUUAUUGGUAAGAGAUUAGCCUGUAUUGUAUCAGUUAGUUGGUGGGGUAAUGGCUUACCAAGACUAUGACACAUAACUGGUUUGAGAGAAUGGUCAGUCAUACUGGAACUGAGAGACGGUCCGGAUUCCUACGGGAGGCAGCAGUGGGGAAUAUUGCACAGUGGACGGAAGUCUGAUGCAGCAACGCCGCGUGGAGGAUGACACAUUUCGGUGCGUAAGCUCCUUUUAUAUGAGAAGAUAAUGACGGUAUUAUAUGAAUAAGCACCGGCUAACUCCGUGCCAGCAGCCGCGGUAA
rnacentral:rRNA from 1 species